GUUUUCUAUUUUCUGUUAUUUUAAACGUUUUAGUGGUUUUCUAAACCCAGCGGAAAUGAUGGUGGGGUCUGCCUGCAGACACUGUCACAUACCCCCUCCACACACACACACACACACACACACACACACACACACACACACACACUGAUGUCAUCCUGAAGGCAGCGGCAGAAUGAAUUGCCCUCAGCGUUGCGCGCACACACUUACCUGACGCGCGCGCCCGCUCUCCAGACGCGGACUCCUGCGCGGAGCAAGCGAGUCGUCUCCACGAGAGACUGGCAUGAGAUUCGGAGUGCAGAGACUGCAGAGAGCGUGAUCCGAUGUGUGUUUAUGAUGGACGUGACGCUGUUCUUGUCUCUCGUUUGUGUUUGCGCGGCUGCGGGUUCGAACACACUCAGCUCAUCUGGACCGCUGCUUCUGUCUGAUGCAUUGUGUCAGUAUGGAUGGACGAGAACCUUAAAGGGCUAGUGCAGACGUAAGCAAACACUCACACACAGCCCAUGUUUACAACACUAUGUAGCAAAGAAGAAUAAAGCAUGACAGUAUGCAACAGUUUUAAUCAAAUUGGUGUAAUCAGGCUGAGCUUUUGACAGGAAUAGAAAGCUAAGCGCUGCAUUCGUUGCACUGGGAUGCAAUAUUUCAUGCAGUUGCAUGGGGUUGUUGUCUUAAUUUUACUUUUUAGUUCAGUUUUUAGUUUUUAUUUAUUUUCAAUUAGUAAUUUUUUUCUUCAUCGUUUACAUAUUUUACUUAUAGAUUAUUAUAUAUACUAGUUUUUAUUGAUACUUUGAAAUAGUUUUUUAUGUGUUUAAUCUUAUUUUUUAAUUUUAGUUAAAUUAUUAUAAAGUAUUUUUAUCAUGUGC
rnacentral:lncRNA from 1 species